AUUGAACGCUGGCGGCAGGCCUAACACAUGCAAGUCGAGCGAGCGGCGGACGGGUGAGUAAUGUCUGGGAAACUGCCUGAUGGAGGGGGAUCACUAAUGGAAACGGUAGCUAAUAACGCAUACCAUCAGAUGUGCCCAGAUGGGAGUAGCUAGUGGGUGGGGUAACGGCUCACCUAGGCGACGAUCCCUAGCUGGUCUGAGAGGAUGACCAGCCACACUGGAACUGAGACACGGGCCAGACUCGUACGGGAGGCAGCAGUGGGGAAUAUUGCACAAGGGGCGGAAGCCUGAUGCAGCCAGGCCGCGUGUGUGAAGAAGGCCUUCGGGUUGUAAAGCACUUUCAGCGGGGAGGCGUUACCCGCAGAAGAAGCACCGGCUAACUCCGUGCCAGCAGCCGCGGUAAUUC
rnacentral:rRNA from 1 species